GGUUAAGCGACUAAGCGUACACGGUGGAUGCCCUGGCAGUCAGAGGCGAUGAAGGACGUGCUAAUCUGCGAAAAGCGUCGGUAAGGUGAUAUGAACCGUUAUAGCCGGCGAUGUCCGAAUGGGGAAACCCAGUGCAAUUCGUUGCACUAUCGUUUGAUGAAUACAUAGUCAAACGAGGCGAACCGGGGGAACUGAAACAUCUAAGUACCCCGAGGAAAAGAAAUCAACCGAGAUUCCCCCAGUAGCGGCGAGCGAACGGGGAGCAGCCCGGAGUCUGAAUCAGCUUGUGUGUUAGUGGAAGCGUCUGGAAAGUCGCAGGGUACAGGGUGAUACUCCCGUACACUAAAAUGCACAGGUUGUGAACUCGAAGAGUAGGGCGGGACACGUGGUAUCCUGUCUGAAUAUGGGGGGACCAUCCUCCAAGGCUAAAUACUCCUGACUGACCGAUAGUGAACCAGUACCGUGAGGGAAAGGCGAAAAGAACCCCGGCGAGGGGAGUGAAAAAGAACCUGAAACCGUGUACGUACAAGCAGUAGGAGCCCACUAGUUGGGUGACUGCGUACCUUUUGUAUAAUGGGUCAGCGACUUAUAUUCUGUAGCAAGGUUAACCGUAUAGGGGAGCCGCAGGGAAACCGAGUCUUAACUGGGCGUUAAGUUGCAGGGUAUAGACCCGAAACCCGGUGAUCUAGCCAUGGGCAGGUUGAAGGUUGGGUAACACUAACUGGAGGACCGAACCGACUAAUGUUGAAAAAUUAGCGGAUGACUUGUGGCUGGGGGUGAAAGGCCAAUCAAACCGGGAGAUAGCUGGUUCUCCCCGAAAGCUAUUUAGGUAGCGCCUCGUGAACUCAUCUUCGGGGGUAGAGCACUGUUUCGGCUAGGGGGUCAUCCCGACUUACCAACCCGAUGCAAACUACGAAUACCGAAGAAUGUUAUCACGGGAGACACACGGCGGGUGCUAACGUCCGUCGUGAAGAGGGAAACAACCCAGACCGCCAGCUAAGGUCCCAAAGUCAUGGUUAAGUGGGAAACGAUGUGGGAAGGCCCAGACAGCCAGGAUGUUGGCUUAGAAGCAGCCAUCAUUUAAAGAAAGCGUAAUAGCUCACUGGUCGAGUCGGCCUGCGCGGAAGAUGUAACGGGGCUAAACCAUGCACCGAAGCUGCGGCAGCGACGCUUAUGCGUUGUUGGGUAGGGGAGCGUUCUGUAAGCCGUUGAAGGUGGCCUGUGAGGGUUGCUGGAGGUAUCAGAAGUGCGAAUGCUGACAUAAGUAACGAUAAUGCGGGUGAAAAACCCGCACGCCGGAAGACCAAGGGUUCCUGUCCAACGUUAAUCGGGGCAGGGUGAGUCGACCCCUAAGGCGAGGCCGAAAGGCGUAGUCGAUGGGAAACAGGUUAAUAUUCCUGUACUCGGUGUUACUGCGAAGGGGGGACGGAGAAGGCUAUGUUGGCCGGGCGACGGUUGUCCCGGUUUAAGCAUGUAGGCGGAUGUUCCAGGUAAAUCCGGAACGUUACUAACGCUGAGGUGUGAUGACGAGGCACUACGGUGCUGAAGUGACAAAUGCCCUGCUUCCAGGAAAAGCCUCUAAGCAUCAGGUAACAUCAAAUCGUACCCCAAACCGACACAGGUGGUCAGGUAGAGAAUACCAAGGCGCUUGAGAGAACUCGGGUGAAGGAACUAGGCAAAAUGGUGCCGUAACUUCGGGAGAAGGCACGCUGAUGGUA
rnacentral:rRNA from 1 species